CCAGCAGGGAGCAAGGGUGUCUGGAGUUGCCAGGGGUCAAGCAUCCUCCAGGAGGGGCUGAGGGCAAGGUUUCUCCCUGCAGGUUCUUCAAAGCCUCUGAAAGAUAAGAAGUGACCAGCAGAUGAAGCCAGCAAAGAGCUGCAUGAAGCCAGCAAAGAGCUAUGUGGCAGUUUAUUUGUUUAACUCUGUUUACUCAUUUUGCAUUUCUAAAAAGUCCUGUGUGGCCUCAUGGUGUUAUCUACUAGCUCUGCUUCAGUGGAGGCAAGGACCUGAACAGUGAGUCCUUAGCCAAAGCCAGUGGCAAAAGUAAAAGUGGUCAGCUCUGCUGGUGUGACCAAACAUGCCUGGCUGGAAUCUGUCCAAAAAGCUAUCUAUAGCAGUGUACAGUCCUCCAGGGACAACUCUCCACUCAUUCUGUCUCCAAGUUACUUCUGGCUUUGUUUCUCUUAGAUAUGGCUACAGAAUCCUGAUUAAACCAAGAGAUUUCAAACAAAAAACAAGAGUUUAAAAGAAAGCCCACGCAAUAAUGCUAGUAACUAUACCUGACAACCAAAACCCAGGAAAAAGCCAAUCUGUUUAACGGGUACUUCGUGUUGGUUUUUCAUCAACCCAAAGGGGACCGCCCUGCCUAGCAUGAUGUGGGAUAGCCAGGGUGAGGGUGAAUUUAUACCCAGCAUCAGUGUAGACCUUGUGAAGGAACAUGGAGAGGCUGAACACCUUCAAUUCAGAUGGUCCUGACAAAUUGCACCCCAGAGUAUUUAAGGAUCUGGCAGGAGUCAUAGCCCAACCACUGGCAAAGAUAUUUGAAAACUCCUGGCACUUGGGUGAAGUACCUGAAUAUUGGAAGAAGGCCUAUGUGGUGCCCAUCAUCAAGAAAGGAGGAGAGAGGAGUUGAUCCUGGGAACCACAGGCCAACCAGCCUGACCUCAAUGCUGGAAAGAU